ACACGUUCACCGACCCAGGCCUAACUGUCAAGGUUCUGUAUCCUACAACACGUUCACCGACCCAGGCCUUACUGUCAAGGUUCUGUAUCCUACAACACGUUCACCGACCCAGGCCUAACUGUCAAGGUUCUGUAUCCUACAACACGUUCACCGACCCAGGCCUUACUGUCAAGGUUCUGUAUCCUACAACACGUUCACCGACCCAGGCCUAACUGUCAAGGUUCUGUAUCCUACAACACGUUCACCGACCCAGGCCUUACUGUCAAGGUUCUGUAUCCUACAACACGUUCACCGACCCAGGCCUAACUGUCAAGGUCCUGUAUCCUACAACACGUUCACCGACCCAGGCCUAACUGUCAAGGUUCUGUAUCCUACAACACGUUCACCGACCCAGGCCUAACUGUCAAGGUUCUGUAUCCUACAACACGUUCACCGACCCAGGCCUAACUGUCAAGGUCCUGUAUCCUACAACACGUUCACCGACCCAGGCCUUACUGUCAAGGUCCUGUAUCCUACAACACGUUCACCGACCCAGGCCUAACUGUCAAGGUCCUGUAUCCUACAACACGUUCACCGACCCAGGCCUAACUGUCAAGGUCCUGUAUCCUACAACACGUUCACCGACCCAGGCCUUACUGUCAAGGUUCUGUAUCCUACAACACGUUCACCGACCCAGGCCUUACUGUCAAGGUUCUGUAUCCUACAACACGUUCACCGACCCAGGCCUUACUGUCAAGGUCCUGUAUCCUACAACACGUUCACCGACCCAGGCCUUACUGUCAAGGUUCUGUAUCCUACAACACGUUCACCGACCCAGGCCUAACUGUCAAGG